rnacentral:rRNA from 1 species
UCCGCCAUCGUCUCCGGUGUCGUGGGGGACAUGGUCCGCAGGGCGAUGUCCCUCCUCGCCGGGCAGCUCUUGGACCAGCAGCCAGAGCGAAGCGUCGAGGCCAAGCUGCGGGUCGAGAGCGCCGCGGAGGCCGCCGGGGCGAGGCGGAUCACGAGCCAGGCGCUGCUCUCCUGGCUCGCGGAGAUCGUCGAUGGCGCGUACCGGGGGCGCUACCUCGACGCGUUCCCGGUCCCGAGCGGAGCAAGCGAUCAGGACGACGGCCAUGCUGGCAACAACAAGGUGGUGCCUCUGGCACGCUCUUUCUCCAUGCCUAGCUCGUUCAACCCCGCUAAGCGCCUGCACGUCGCGGCCAUGAAGCUGCUGCUCGGAGACGGCGGCGGCAGCGCCGACGAGCUGGACGGCGUCCUCGCGGACCUGAAAAGCAUCGCCAGCGGUCUCGCAGAGUUCAUCAUGCUGCUGCAGAUGUGCCCGCCGGCGCUGCACCGGCCGGUGGUCACGAGCAUCUACGCGGACAGCCAGAUGUUCGGACGGCACGUCGAGCGACGACGAGUUUUGGAGUUCUUGCUGCAAGAUGACGAGGGCGAGCCGUCGCUGGCAGAGCUAGGCGUCCUCCCUAUAAUCGGCUCCGCCGGCCUGGGGAAGACCACGCUCGUGCAGCACGUCUGCGAGGAGCCCGCGGUGCGCCGCCGCUUCUCGCUAGUCAUGAUGCUAGACUUCCAUUGCAUGAGCCUCAUGGCAGCCGGCGAGACGGCGCUCUUCCUACGCUCUCUGUUCACGCCAAACGCAACCAGCCUCUCCGCCGACGGAGAGCAGAUGAGGCUCCUAGAGCGGAAGCUGCGCGGCGAGAGGUUUCUGGCCGUCUUCGACAACGUCGACCCGCGCAAAAGGCAGGUGGUCGACGCGAUCAUGCCAACCCUGCGGCGCGCCGGCAGGCAAGGGACGGGCACGACACCGAUCGUUCUGCGCCCCCUGCCGCCGGAGGAGUACUGGUUCUUCAGGGCGCACGCGUUCGGUGGCGCCGAGGCGGACCCUCGGCUGGCGGCGGUGGGCCAGGCCAUCGCCAGGAGGCUGGGCCACUCCUUCUUCGGCGGGAAGAUAGUGGGCGCGCUCCUGAGGUCCCGUCCGGUCGCGCGGCUAUGGCUUAGCGUCCUGGGCAGCAGCUUCAGCAUCGCCGACGUGUGGUGCCUCGGCAACGAAGGCUGCGUCGCCGCCGCGGCCGGCAGCCACCUCCCGCGGCAUGUGAUCGUGCGCUGCGUCACCGUCUCUGGCUCGCCGAUGAGAGGGCUCGUCGGAAUCCAAGAGGCCUCUUUGGCUCUUCCUGCUCCUCCUUGUCCAGACGACGGUCUGUGUUCCCUGGCUAGUGGCUACUGCCUGUACUACACUGCCCAUUGCACCAUCGACAGAUAG